rnacentral:rRNA from 1 species
UACGAAGGGGCUAGCGUUGUUCGGAGUUACUGGGCGUAAAGGGCGCGUAGGCGGCGCACCAAGUCAGGCGUGAAGCCUGGGCUCAACCCGGGAAUUGCGCUUGAGACUGGUGUGCUUGAGUACGGGAGAGGAUAGUGGAAUUCCCAGUGUAGAGGUGAAAUUCGUAGAUAUUGGGAAGAACGACCGGUGGCGAAGGCGGCUAUCUGGACCGUAACGUGACGCUGAGGCGCGGAAAGCGUGGGGAGCAAACAGGG